UUGAAGUCCAGACGUGAGCAACAGGAGGAGAGACUUCAGGUCCAUCUCACAAAAGCGAUACCUGGAGGACGUGGUAAUAUUUGGUGCAGAAAAAUGAGAAGGUGCAAAUCGUGGAAGACAUCGACGAGGAUGACAAUUUGGUGGACAAGGACUUGCAGGAGACCACAGCUGCUUCCACAGGAAAGAACAAGCAGCUUGAGGCUCCAGGAGUUUCCCAGGAGAGAGAGUGAGACGCCUUCCUCCCCUGGGGUCCCGGGACCAGGACAGGGUCACACUGACUUAUACCCUCCUCAUCCAAAGUGGGGAAGAAAGCUGAUCUUCAAGAAUCAAAGCAUGAAAUAUAAGAUGCUGAAAAGGGACAUGUAACAUAUCAGUUUCCAUGCGAAUGGUAAGUGUUGUGGAAUGUCUGAGUGCAACAACUUGGAAUAACUGCCAACUGUGUUUCCAAGUAUUUGGGACCUGUUUAAAUAGAGACAUAAAAAAUUUAAAGAAGAAUUUUGUUAAAUGUAGAGACAUAAUGAUAUGACAUGGUUAAGAGACAAAUACUUAGGGAUGAAGAAAUUAAUAUUGCAUAAUGCUCCCGCUUAGAAGCCUAUCCAGUUUCCUUCGCUUUUCAGAUCGAAACCAAAUUUCUCCAUGUGACUUCUGGGUUCUUUGCAAUCUGUCCUGAUCAUAUGAAUCGACGGGACCUUCACCCACUAAAUGACUCUAAACCUUCACCCACUGCUCUUUGACCCAUGGGCUCCCGCUCCUCCCAUGCAGUCUUGCUUCCACGCCUUUGCCCAGGCCUCUCCUUUCACCUAGGAUGCUCCCCUCUCCACUCCAACAGGAAAAUCCAUGCAGUCCUCCUCUUCUCUCCCGACACUGUUCAAAACACUGGCCAUCUUUCAAGACCACUUCUAGAAAAAAAAUUCCGAUGUUUUGAAUUUCUGUAAUUUUGUAUUUGGGUGGUUUACCUUAUAUCACGCUCUUGUGAUUCCUGAUGUAAAAAUUCUCUUGCAAACAAGUGGAUUGCUUGAGAGCAGCAACUGAGUUUAGUACUUACUCUUCCAUCUCCCGUGGAAUCCUACAUUAGCAGCCUCAGGAGUAAAUGCUCAGUAUUGAACAGUAAUCAUAACAGCCAUCAUUUCUGUAGUACUUACCAUGUGUCAGAUACCACGCCAAGUGCUUUAUACGCACAAUCUCAUUUAAUCCUCACUGCAACCCUUUGAAUAGGAAGGGCUGUUAUCCCCAUUCAACAGAUGAGAAAGUCAGGAUCAAGAGA